GUUUAUUAUGAGGUGUGGUCCUGUCUACAGGAGUCUGUUUAUUAUUAGGUGUUGUCCUGUCUACAGAGAUCUGUUUAUAUGAGGUGUGGUCUGUCUACAGAGAUCUGUUUAUUAUGAGGUGUGGUCCUGUCUACAGAGACCUGUUUAUUAUGAGGUGUGGUCCUGUCUACAGAGAUCUGUUUAUUAUGAGGUGUGGUCCUGUCUAUAGAGAUCUGUUUAUUAUGAGGUGUGGUCCUGUCUACAGAGAUCUGUUUAUUAUGAGGUGUGGUCCUGUCUAUAGAGACCUGUUUAUUAUUUAGGUGUUGUCCUGUCUACAGAGACCUGGCUGAUUUUAAAUGAUAUAAAUGUUAUUUGGAAUCUAAAUAAUGAAUGAUGAUAGUUCUAGUUAUUUUAUUUUGAAGAAAAAAUGAUCGACAUUCAUAUUUUUAUUUCAUCUUUUGAUUUAAAAAAAACAACAACUUUGUUGUUGAGUAAGUGUUGUAACUUCUUUUUCACUUUUUUAUUUAUUUUUUC
rnacentral:lncRNA from 1 species